CUCAUAAAUUUACUGCUUGAAUCUCAGAUUUUUCUAGCAAAUUUAUGACUAUUUAUUCAAGAUUCUUUCUCUUAAAUUCAUAACUUUAAUCUUGUUAGUAGCUAAUGGUCUGACAACAAAAAUUACAAAUGGAGGAGAAGGAAGAGAGGACGAGGCUAAUCAAAAAUGGCACUGGAGAUUUUUUCUCACACAUUUAUGUUUUAAUAAUCUCAAGUUUUUUUCUCGUAUAUUUAUGACUUUAAUCUCGGAAAUUAUGAUUUUUUUCUUAAAUGUUUUUUGUUUUUUUUAACCUACGAAGGCCCUUAUACACCGUUUUAGGAAAAUGCAUCGUCACAAAGUUGAAUGCAGGACUUGUAAACUUGUAGUGGAGUAUUUUCUCAGUGUGGUGUUAGUACUUUUACUGCAGUAACGUUUUCAAUGCAGGACUUUAACUUGUAGUGGAGGGUUUUCUCAGUGUGGUGUUAGUACUUUUAGUGCAGUAAAGUAGCUGAACACUUCUUCCAGUUACUGCAGUAGUGUGUUCUUACGUUUCUGCGGAAGAUCCGGUCCAGCAGGCUCCGUUUGGGGUUCCCGGGGGUCUGGGACCAGUCCAGGUCUGGAGAUCGACUCCCAUCAGGACCAAACAGAUUCAGCUCCCUGAAGCAUCCCGUCUCUAUCACCUGCAGAGGAAGAGGAGGAGGAAGAUGCUGAGGUUAUAGAGACGCUGCCGGUGUUGAACUUGGAGUAGAAGUCGCUGUCCUUCUGGUCCAGCGUGACUCCCUUCACCGUAGAGAACUCCUCGAUGUCCUGGACGUCGCUGCAGUACACCAGUCUGGGCUGUAGGAGGAAGAACACAGCACAACAUCCAAACUGACCUCUCCAGUGUCUUCCACUGCAGGAAACGGUCAUAGAACAUGCUCUUCUGGUACAGGAUGAAGGGCUCUCCACGCAGUCACAGAAGACGUCCAUGCAGGGGUCGAGCUCCAGGCUCUGGAUGCAGCUCUGUUCAUGCUUCAGCACGAUGGACACACACUGAAUGGACUGAGGGGACACGGACGAAGACGUUAAAACAACCUGACUCCUGAGGAAUCUCUGAAUGAUGCUGAUGCCAAAGUCUUUCCUCUCCUCAUCGGACUUCGUCUCGAAGGCGUCCUAAAGGAGCAGAGCAUGAAGGUUACAGGUCAGU